rnacentral:rRNA from 1 species
CGUAAUAGCUCACUGGUCGAGUGGUCCUGCGCGGACAAUGUAACGGGGCUCAAGUAAAUAGCCGAAGCUGCGGAUUUCUGUUCCGCCCAAGUAGCAAUGUUGAAAGUGGCUUGCCACGGACGACGUUGCAAUCCGCUUGGGAGUCACGGAAUGGGAGUGGUAGGGGAGCGUCGAUCUUGCAGAGAAGCGGCGGUGGAAACCGUCGUGGAGCGUGGUCGAGUGAGAAUGUUGGUAUGAGUAGCGAGAGAGGGGUGAGAAACCCCUCCGCCGUAAGCCCAAGGGUUCCUGGGGAAGGCUAAUCCUCCCAGGGUAAGUCGGGAGCUAAGGCGAGGCCGAGAGGCGUAGUCGAUGCACAACUGGUUGAUAUUCCAGUACUUCCGUGUCCGCGCCCAUUCCAAAACUGGUGUCCUAAGGGGCUGUCCUUCGGGGCGAACCGACCGACCCGGUGGAGGAAAGCGAAGGAGGGACGCAGGAGGGUAGGUGAGCCCAGGCGUUGGUUGACCUGGGGUAAGCGUGUAGGGGGAGGUCUAGGCAAAUCCGGACCUCAUGAACCCUGAGACGCGAUGCCGAGCCAUUUCAGGCGAAGUCACUAAUCCCAUGCUGCCGAGAAAAGCUUCUAGCGAGCUGGCACGGAACCCGUACCCCAAACCGACACAGGUGGGCGGGUAGAGAAUACCAAGGCGAUCGGGAGAACUGUGGUUAAGGAACUCGGCAAAAUACCUCCGUAACUUCGGGAGAAGGAGGACCCCACUAGGGUGAUGAACUUCGCGUUCUGAGCCUGAAGGGGUCGCAGAGAAUAGGGGAAAGCGACUGUUUACUAAAAACACAGGAGCGUGCGAAGUCGUAAGACGAUGUAUACGCUCUGACGCCUGCCCGGUGCCGGAAGGUUACGGGGAAGGGUUAGCCCUCGGGCGAAGCUCUGAACCUAAGCCCCGGUAAACGGCGGCCGUAACUAUAACGGUCCUAAGGUAGCGAAAUUCCUUGUCGGGUAAGUUCCGACCUGCACGAAUGGCGUAACGACUUUCCUACUGUCUCAACCACAGACCCGGCGAAAUUGAAGUACGAGUAAAGAUGCUCGUUAGCUGCAUCAGGACGGAAAGACCCCGUGGACCUUUACUACAGCUUGAUGUUGAGUUUUAGUACAUAUUGUGUAGGAUAGGUGGGAGACUUUGAAGCAUUGGCGCUAGCCAGUGUGGAGUCAACCUUGAAAUACCACCCUUUAUGUGCCGGAACCCUAACCUCGGUCCGUUAUCCGGAUCAGGGACAGCGUCAGGUGGGUAGUUUGACUGGGGCGGUCGCCUCCUAAAACGUAACGGAGGCGCCCAAAGGUUCCCUCAGGCUGGUUGGCAAUCAGCCGUCGAGUG